GGCAGGAGGCAGGAGAGGGAAGAAGAAGAAUGCAGAGAAGAGUGAACUUGGAGGAAAGGGAGCAAAUGGAGCCACAGGGAGCAGCUGGGGAGAGAAGAUCUCAUCAUGAAUGGUCCCACUCUUCCCUGCCCUGAGGCCCCAACUCACCAGCUGCAUCCUGACCCUGGGCCAGGGGCCCCUGCAAUGCUGAGGACAGCAGGAAGAUCAGAGAGUGAGAGCCUCAUUUUCUAUUGUUCCUGAGGGCCAUCGGCUCUAAAGGGCCCCUGGGAGGAUGGCCAGAUCCUAGUUCCCAUCGCUUGUGGCCAAGCCAGCGCCAAGCAGGGGAGAGGGAAGGUGAAGAAUGAGGAGGAAGAGACAUUUAGGUAUGUACAGAGUCGUGUACUAAGUUACCAGAGAGGUAAUUGGACAGGUAAAAGUGAG
rnacentral:lncRNA from 1 species